AACGAACGCUGGCGGCAUGCCUAACACAUGCAAGUCGAACGAGACCUUCGGGUCUAGUGGCGCACGGGUGCGUAGCGUGUCGGAACCUGCACUUAGGUUCGGAAUAACUCCCCGAAAGGGGUGCUAAUACCGGAUAACGUCUUCGGACCAAAGAUUUAUCGCCUUUGGAUGGGCCCGCGUUGGAUUAGCUAGUUGGUAGGGUAAAAGCCUACCAAGGCGACGAUCCAUAGCUGGUCUGAGAGGAUGGUCAGCCACACUGGGACUGAGACACGGCCUAGACUCCUACGGGAGGCAGCAGUGGGGAAUAUUGGACAAUGGGCGAAAGCCUGAUGCAGCAAUGCCGCGUGAGUGAUGAAGGCCUUAGAGAUGUAAAGCUCUUUUACCCGGGAUGAUAAUGACAGUACCGAAAGAAUAAGCUCCGGCUAACUCCGUG
rnacentral:rRNA from 1 species